GGGUGCGUAGUUUAGUGGUAAAAUAGGCGGCUCCAGCCCGCCAGCUGGGGGUUCGAUUCCCUCCGCGCCCA
rnacentral:tRNA from 1 species